rnacentral:rRNA from 14 species
GAGUAGUGGCGAGCGAAAGCGGAGGAGGCUAAACCGGUCACGCGUGAUACCCGGCAGGGGUUGCGUGGUCGGGGUCGUGGGAAUGUUGUUGUCGGGGCUGCCGCCCUGGCGGGGAGUAAGAAAAACAGUGGUUAGUCGAAUGGCAUUGGAAAAACCAGCCGUAGCGGGUGAUAGCCCCGUAGACGAAAACUUCUGUUCUCCCUUCGAUAUAUCCCAAGUAGCAGCGAGCCCGUGAAAUUCGCUGUGAAUCUGGCGGGACCACCC